UUCCCAAUGAUCCAGUGGUUAAGAAUCUGCCUUUCAAUGCAGAGGACUCAGGUUCAAUCCCUGUUUGGGGAA
rfam:Ovis aries breed Texel chromosome 12, whole genome shotgun sequence.